rnacentral:rRNA from 1 species
AUGGGCGGACGAGGCGAGGCGAGCUCGGCAGCCAUGACGGCCUCCUCAGCGCCUCUCCUCCUCCCCCGCGCUCCGGCGCCGGCGGCGCGGAACGAGGUGCGGCGGCAGGUGGGGCUCGCGGCGCCGCUGGUGGCGUGCAGCCUGCUGCAGUACAGCCUGCAGGUUGUUUCCGUCAUGUUCGCCGGCCACCUCGGCGAGCUCCCCCUCUCCGCCGCCUCCGUCGCCUCCUCCUUCGCCAACGUCACCGGCUUCAGCGUCCUGCUGGGAAUGGGAAGCGCACUCGACACAUUGUGCGGACAAUCAUAUGGGGCAAAACAAUAUGAUAUGCUGGGGACGCAUGCUCAGAGGGCUAUCUUCGUCCUUAUGCUUUCAAGCGUUCCUCUGGCCUUUGUAUUGGCUUUCACUGGCCAAAUUCUUACUGCUCUUGGUCAAAAUCCAGAGAUAUCAUAUGGAGCUGGAACCUAUGCCCGGUUGUUGAUUCCUGGUCUUUUCGCAUACGGCUUGCUCCAGUGCCUUACCAAGUUCCUGCAGGCCCAAAAUAUUGUCCACCCACUGGUAGUUUGUUCUGGGGUGACGCUGAUAUUCCACAUUCUGCUGUGCUGGUUCCUUGUUCAAAAUUCCGGUCUUGGCUACAGAGGUGCAGCCCUGGCAACCUCGGUAUCUUACUGGUUCAAUGUGAUAUUGCUAGCACUGUAUGUUAAAUUCUCUGAAGCUGGCAGAAGGAGUUGGCAUGGAUGGUCAAGGGCGGUGUUAAAGGAUGUGAACUUGUUUUUAAGCCUGGCCAUUCCAUCGACAUUUAUGACUUGCUUGGAGUACUGGGCAUUCGAGAUGGUGGUUCUCCUUGCAGGUUUUCUUCCAAAUCCAAAACUGGAAACUUCAAUUUUAUCCAUCAGCCUAAACACAAUGUGGAUGGUUUAUACAAUUCCAAGCGGCCUCAGCAGUGCAAUAAGUAUUAGAGUGUCCAAUGAAUUAGGCGCCGGGAAUCCACAAGCAGCACGUCUAUCAGUUCUUAUUUCAGGAAUCAUGUGCCUAGCAGAAGGCCUUCUUGUAGUUAUCAUCACAGUUUCUGUACGAGAUGUGUGGGGUUAUUUGUACAGCAAUGAAGAAGAGAUAGUAAAGUAUGUAUCCAUAAUGAUGCCAAUUCUCGCCACUUCUAACUUCAUGGAUGGCAUACAAUGCACACUAUCAGGUGCCGCUAGAGGGUGUGGCUGGCAGAAAGUAUGCUCAUUCAUCAACCUAUGUGCUUACUAUGCUUUCGGUAUCCCUUCAGCUGUUAUUUUUGCAUUUGUUCUGAAGAUCGGUGGUAAGGGGCUUUGGCUGGGAAUCAUAUGUGCCAUGGUAGUGCAAAUAAUAGCUCUGCUUGUGAUGAUGCUUCAUACCAACUGGGAUAAAGAGGUAGGCCCGUGGUCUCUGUUGAUGAAAUUGGAUGGUAUGGUAGUAUUAUCUACUACUCCCUCCGUUCCGAAAUAUAAGUCUUUUUAG